rnacentral:rRNA from 1 species
AUUGAACGCUGGCGGCAUGCCUUACACAUGCAAGUCGAACGGCAGCAUGGAAGAGCUUGCUCUUCUGAUGGCGAGUGGCGAACGGGUGAGUAAAGCAUCGGAACGUACCGUGUAGUGGGGGAUAACGUAGCGAAAGUUACGCUAAUACCGCAUACGCACUGAGGUGGAAAGCAGGGGAUCGCAAGACCUUGCGCUAUACGAGCGGCCGAUGUCAGAUUAGCUAGUUGGUAGGGUAAAGGCCUACCAAGGCGACGAUCUGUAGCGGGUCUGAGAGGAUGAUCCGCCACACUGGGACUGAGACACGGCCCAGACUCCUACGGGAGGCAGCAGUGGGGAAUUUUGGACAAUGGGGGAAACCCUGAUCCAGCCAUGCCGCGUGAGUGAAGAAGGCCUUCGGGUUGUAAAGCUCUUUCGGCUGGGAAGAAAUCGCACAGGCUAAUACUCUGUGUGGAUGACGGUACCAGCAUAAGAAGCACCGGCUAACUACGUGCCAGCAGCCGCCGCCGUAA